GACGAACGCUGGCGGCGUGCUUAACACAUGCAAGUCGAACGGAGAGCGAUGGCAUCUUGCUUCUGUCAGUCUUAGUGACGAGCGGGUGAGUCACGCGUAAUCAACCUGCCCUUCAGAGGGAGACAACAGUUGGAAACGACUGCUACUACCACAUACGAUCGAUUCUCGGCAUCGAGGAUAGAUUAAAGGUGGCCUCUACAUGUAAGCUAUCACUGAAGGAGGUGAGUGCGUCUGAUUAGGUAGUUGGAGGGGUAGCGUCCCCCGGCUGCGAGGGUCAGUGGUCGGUCUGAGAUGAUGGACGGCCACACCUGGACGGGGACCCGGCCCAGACGGCUACGGGAGGCAGCAGUGGGGAAUCCGGCGGAAAGGACGAAAGACUGACGGAGCAAGGCCGCGUGCGUGAUGACGGACUUCGGGUUGUGAAGCGCCGGUAAUCGGGACGAAAGGCCUUCUCGCGAAUAGCGAGAAGGAUUGACGGUAACGGAAUAGAAAGCCACGGCUAACUACGUG
rnacentral:rRNA from 1 species